rnacentral:rRNA from 1 species
UACGUAGGUGGCGAGCGUUGUCCGGAUUUACUGGGCGUAAAGAGCGCGCAGGCGGUCGUACAAGUCGCGUGUGAAAGCCCCCGGCUCAACUGGGGAGGGUCACGCGAUACUGUUCGACUCGAAGGCAGGAGAGGGAAGCGGAAUUCCCGGUGUAGUGGUGAAAUGCGUAGAUAUCGGGAGGAACACCAGUGGCGAAGGCGACUAUCUGGGCUGCAACUGACGCUGAGGCGCGAAGGCGAGGGUAGCAAACAGG